GGAGCACGGGAAGCUAGCUGUGCGUGCGCACAAGAGGAAUACCUGUACUUGGAGGCUGCCGCUGCUGGCUCUCGUUUUAUGUCCAUCGUCGCAGCAAUGGCCAACACAUCCGCCACCGCCUCCGAUGAGCUGCACCGCACCCAGCAGUACCUCGUAGAAGUCAUUGACGAGUGCGUCUUCGUUGAGCGCCAACGCGAGCUGACAGAGCGUAGGCUUUCCUCUCAACUAGAGGCGCAAAAGGCUCUCGUUAGCGACCUAUUCGUGGUGCUCCACGAUGUGUGCCGGUACACGUCCACCAUGGAGGAAGCCAUCUUAACCACGCUGCUGCACACUUUACCCGCCUCAUCGCCUGCGCACCAGCAACUUCUUCAGUGCCGCAGCAGGGUUCGUGAGGCGCUCACGCGCCUUUGGCGAGGCCGUGGCGGCGACCGAGAAGACAGCGUGCUCCUCCCCGCCACACCGCGAACGUUUAGCGGCUUGAGAGCGGCGGACGCCCCCAUCAUAUCGCAUGACAGCGCAGCUGGGGCUGGCGUACAGGUGAUGCAGCGACUCGUCGAGCACGAGGCUCGCCUCCUGGACGCCCUGGCCAGAGCCACGGCCAGGAUCGAGGCAACGCGCGCGGCUGCAACGGCAGAAAACGGCGAGUUGGAGGCACUUCGUGCCCGCAUGAACGAGCUUACCCGUGUCGUCAACAGUAGCGAUUCAGGGUUGUUGAAAACCUCGCCGGAAGCCUCUGCUGCGCAGGCGCCAGAGGGCGUGUCGCCAGCCACUGCACGGUUCGCAGAAGCACGUGUACUGGCGUACGAAAAAACAGUGCAAGCGCUGAACAGCGAGCUUGCUCUGCUGCACGAAAACUACGCAGCGCUCUCGCACGCCAGAACCCGUGAGGUGGAUAUGCUGAAGCAGCACAUGGCCGACGACCAACGCAAGCACGAGGACCAGAUUGCUGAGUGUGACGCGGUGCUAGGCCGGAUGUCCCUGGAGCUUGAGCAGCUGAUCCAGGAAAACGCGCAGCUGAAGCACAAGCUGCGUAUGACAGCCGAGCCUGACUGACGGCAGCAGCGAAACUGUCGCUUGUGUGGGUGGCAAGUAAAGUUCUGCUGCGUCUUCUCCGCCCCAGUACUAUGUGAGGCGUACGCGAGUGCUUUCGCACGUUUCCUACAACUAUGAGCCACGUGGAAAACCAGCAAAGGCGCAAGGCCGUCAACAACGCUGCCUUCGAGGGGAAUGCCAGACUCCGCUCAGCCAUCCGCUGCACUCCUGCUCGACGUGGACAGCCAGUCUCCAUUCUUGAGCGCUCAGCAGCUACCCUCAUCAACCUGAACAUGAGCUUCUGCAUGUGUGCCUGUGUAUGGACGCUGCAGCACGUCUCCCGUCGCGAAGCUUCCUUGGAUGUACGUGAAUCCCUCCAGAGGAUGAUGGACUCAAAAUGGUAGAUUCAUUUUUUUUUUCAUCUCUGCGAUCCCCCGUCUGUCUCUACUCCACCGACGCAUAUCUUACUUCGGUGGAUUUUCUUUUGUUUUUUUUUUCUUUGUGUGCGUGUGUGUGUGGGGGGGGGGACUUGGCGCGCGCCCCUCUUCUACUUUGCCUCUUUCGCAUAUACUCGUUUACCUUCCACUGUGUGACGUGAAUGUGCUGUGUGCACCACAUGCGGUAAUGGACGAUGCUGCCCAG
rnacentral:misc_RNA from 1 species